GUCAGCGCCGAGCAGCGGAGAGGAAGUGGAUCCAUUUUUUAAAAACUAUAGACCCUACGGGUCUGAACGAAAAAUACUGAUAUGGGUCCACUUCUCUUUUAAAUCAAGUUUUUUUACCACAUAUUGUUUUGGAAUAUUUACCUCCCA